CCGCUCGCGGGAUUUAAUCUGCGUCCUCUUUUAUGACCACCACGCUUCGUUUUCUUCAAUCUGCUGCCGGACUCUUCGGUCACCACUCCCCCCGCCCGAGUCCAUCCUUCACGAAGCCUGCCGCUGCUUAAACGUGGAGGGAAGGACACGGAGAGGGACGCUCGCCGCUAACUGCGCGGGGUUAUUGUUAGUCUGUUAAAAUUUACGGCUCUAUCGACAUAUUAAGUGCAUUUUUACCUCAGCGCUGCACCGAAAGGGAGGGACUGUUUGUUUCUCCGAGAGUCUUCAACAACAGAACCGGCGGUUGGAAGGAUAUUUAAAGUGUUUGAGAACUGGCCAAUCAAGACAAGUGUGAGCCCCUGCACCCUGUACGUCAACGUCCACACUAAAAAAAAAAAAAAAAAAGAUUUAAGGAGGGAAUGAAACCGGAUGGGGAUACCAUGGAAACCACGGAGCCCACUGAAGUUGCAGCAGUAGCAGAGCCCUCCUUGUCGCAGGACAACACAACAGAGCAAGCCCCAUCGCAACCGGAGGGAGCUGCAAAUGAUGUAGCCCCCGAGGCUGCUCCAAAGUCCAAUGGCAAACCAGUGGCAGCAGACUCCAAAGUCAAACCAAAAGGUGUUUCAACUAAAAUACAGCCAGCAGCCAAAUCUGCAGGGGCCUCCGGAUCACGGCCAGGUAUUUCCUUGCACCGCACGGUGAGCGACGUAAAAUUAUCUAACAAUGUCUCUGCAACUGCAGUCAAGAAAAAUGCAACCACAACAAAAGCAUCAGCAGUGGGGGCUGUGCCUAAAAGACUGGUGGGUGCAGCAGCUGCAGCUUCCUCCACAGUCAAGAACCAAUCUAGAGUGCCUGACAAGAAGCCUGUUGGACCGGCUAGGACUACCUCCGUUGCUGCUGCCACAUCAACGGAUGGUACCAAACCAACAACAGUGAAUGGCACCCCUAAGAAGAGACCAGUAGCUGAGACUGUUAAUGUAGCUAGACCCAAAAUCACAAUUCUCGGACAAUUAGGACUGACUUCAAUUAUCACAUUUCUUUUGCCAUAUUUUGGUUCUUCAUUCAUCAUGGAGGCAUUCAAGUAAAAACAAAGUUUUCAAGAUAACGCUAG
rnacentral:lncRNA from 1 species